GAGUAUGACUGAGCCACUGAUGAAGAGCACUAUUCGGAGGAAUUGCUACUAAGUAUCCUUUGACAGGAGUUAUGCACAAAAGAAUACUAGGAAAAUUAAAAAACUGAGCUAAAUAGUUUUUGUUUAUUAAGCGUCCUAACACCUUGUAAUUAUACAUUAUAAGGGUCACUUUCACUAACUUAAGCUAAUUACGAUGGCAAAUUUAAUCUUUCCCCAUCCAGUCGAACCUUAAAUAUUUUGUGUUAAAAAACCCCAUGUUCUUAAUCUAAUCUAUUACCUUCCUUGAAAAUAAGGCACACUGUGUCACCUACUUAACGGUCUUCAGCGUAUUUUCCCAAUAUCUUCUUAGAUUUCCGAUGUCCCCUCUUAACUUAAUCCGGCUUUAAAGUUGCACCAUCUCUAUCACUCUCGACACUUUCAGUGCGGACCAGUUAAAAUUAGUGUAUUCUUUAAACGCUCCUAAAGAGCUCAGAAUCCUGUUGUAAAAGUAAAUAAAAUAGUUUAACAAUUCUUUUAAAACUCUAUUGCUCUCAGUAGUUAUUCAUUAAGCCCUUAUUCAAAUUCUUGGGUGGCCCCUUCAGCCAUACCGUUAGCUUGAUUGACUCUCUCUAACUACCAUCUCUGGAUCUAGCUUUUUAAAUGCCCGGUCCCAUACAAAUUUAAAAUACUUAACAAGUAUAAUUAAUACGUCUCGUGACUUUUUUGCGAUUUUUUGGGGCAUUUCGGAAACAUCCACAGUCAUAUGUAUUAUGGUUUCCCUUAUAAAUUUCUCUUAUAUGCAUCUACUCUCUAGGCUUAUUACUAA